rnacentral:rRNA from 1 species
CCUACGGGCGGCAGCAGUGAGGAAUAUUGGGCAAUGGGCGAGAGCCUGAACCAGCCAAGUCGCGUGAGGGAGGACGGCCCUAUGGGUUGUAAACCUCUUUUGUCGGGGAGCAAAAGCCGGACGUGUCCGGCUGUGAGAGUUCCCGAAGAAAAAGCAGCGGCCAACCCCGUGCCAGCAGCCGCGGUAAUACGGAGGAUGCGAGCGUUAUCCGGAUUUAGUGGGUGUAAAGGGAGCGGUGGCGGCACGGGAAGGUUGAUGGGAAAGCCCGCGGCCCAACCGCGGGACUGCAUUGUAAACUGCCGGGCUGUAGUGCCGGAGAGGUAGGCGGAAUUCCUGGUGUAGCGGUGAAAUGCGUAGAUAUUAGGAGGAACACCAGUGGCGAAGGCGGCCUACUGGACGGUGACUGACGCUGAGGCUCGAAAGCGUGGGGAGCAAACAGGAUUAGAUACCCGUGUAGUC